rnacentral:rRNA from 1 species
UACGUAGGGUGCGAGCGUUAAUCGGAAUUACUGGGCGUAAAGCGUGCGCAGGCGGUGAUGUAAGACAGGUGUGAAAUCCCCGGGCUUAACCUGGGAAUGGCGAUGGAGACUGCAAGGCUAGAGUUUGGCAGAGGGGGGUAGAAUUCCACGUGUAGCAGUGAAAUGCGUAGAGAUGUGGAGGAACACCGAUGGCGAAGGCAGCCCCCUGGGUCAAAACUGACGCUCAUGCACGAAAGCGUGGGGAGCAAACAGG